UCAGGCUCCCAUCGAAGCCGUUCAUGCUUUGUGUAGCAGUGAGCGGUCAAAAGGAAGCCGAAAUGAAGACUUUCACCGACGGUCGCUGUUCAGUUUAAAGUAACUGUUUCAGCAACAUUUAGGGAAAGGACAUUU